rnacentral:rRNA from 1 species
CAAGUCGAACGGUAACAUGAAAGUUUGCUUUUGAUGACGAGUGGCGCACGGGCGCGUAACGCGUAUGCAAUCUACCCUUUACUGGAGAAUAGCCCUUGGAAACGAGGAAUAAUACUCCAUAGUAUAACAAUAUCGCAUGUUAUUGUUAUUAAAGCUUCGGCGGUAAAGGAUGAGCAUGCGUCCCAUUAGUUAGUUGGUGAGGUAAUGGCUCACCAAGACUUCGAUGGGUAGGGGGCCUGAGAGGGUUAUCCCCCACACUGGUACUGAGACACGGACCAGACUCCUACGGGAGGCAGCAGUGAGGAAUAUUGGUCAAUGGACGAAAGUCUGAACCAGCCAUGCCGCGUGCAGGAUGACUGCCCUAUGGGUUGUAAACUGCUUUUAUAUAGGAAGAAACCUCCCGACGUGUCGGGAGCUGACGGUACUAUAAGAAUAAGGAGCGGCUAACUCCGUGCCAGCAGCCGCGGUAAUACGGAGGGUCCAAGCGUUAUCCGGAUUUAUUGGGUUUAAAGGGUACGUAGGCGGAGUUUUAAGUCAGUAGUGAAAGCCCAUCGCUUAACGAUGGAACUGCUAUUGAUACUGAUACUCUUGAAUAUAAGUUGAAGUGGGCGGAAUACGGCAU